AAUAAAAUAUACUUGAUUACAUUUCAAAAUGAAACAAGCAAAAGUAGCCUUUUCACAAUCAUUUGAACAUAACAGAAAAGGUCAACAUGCUUACUACACAUGGACUUCUGCAGAUUCAAAACAGGGACCAGCCAAUGUGUAUGACAUUAGAGUGGAGCCAUAGUUUAGAGAGGAUAAAAAGUGGCAGAUUUGCAAACAGAGAAAAGAGUCUUUCCUUAGUCAUCAAAUGAAUAAUCACUGAAACAAAAAAAAAAUAAGUUGUAUUUCAGUUUAAUAGAUUAUCUCUAAAUUAACGUCAAGGACUUAUCAUCCUGCCAUUACAUUCAGGUCAAAAUGGAUGAAAUCCAGCAACAAUUUACUUAAAGAUAUCAAGAGCUUUAGAAUGGCGAGAGCUCAAGAGGCAAGAGUCCAGAAUGCAGGGAGCUCAGGGGAACUUAGUUACCUUACCUGCCAGGAGCUAAGAGGCUCAAAAGACCUUAACAAUUUCCCAUCAUGGGUAGCAUGUACCUUUUUGAAAUAACUGGCCACAUAAAUCAACUAAACAGUAAUGCAAUGCUUUGAAUGUGCUUGGCCCAUGGGAAGUGGCACUAUUAGGAGGCAUGGUCUUAUUAAAAUGGGUGUGGCCUUCUUGGAGGAAGUGUGUCACUGUGUAGGUGGGCUUUGAGGGGUCCUAGUGUUCAAACUCUGCGCACUGCAGAAGGGACACUUCUCCUGGCUGCCUGUGGAAGACAAUCUUCCCCUGGCUGCCAUUAGAUAAACUAGAACUCUUGGCUCCUCCAGCAUCAAGUCUGCCUGCACAUGCCAUGCUACCUACCAUGAUAACAGACUGAACCUCAGAAACUGUUAGCCAGCCCCAACUAAAUGUUAUCCCAAAGACUUGCCUUGGCAGUGGUAUCUCUUCACAGCUAAGACAAAUAACAAUAAAAGGUUUCUAUCUUUUUGUCUUAGUAAUCAAGCUAUUUCCUUAUAAAAUACUGCAUUGUCUCAUGUUUGACAAUAACUACUCAUGCUGAUUCCUGAUAGGAAGGGCUCUCUGCAGACUAUGUUUGGCAUAGUGUGUCUUCACUGGUGUACUUAAUACCCACAGCAACCCCAGAUGGACUUGCUGAAACUCAGUCCAUCAUACAGAGAGAACGGAAACUAUCAGAUCGAGGGACUUACUUGGUCAAGAUGAUACAGGAUGUACGUCAAGGAUGGAGAGCUCAAAGGCAUUUGAGCCUGCCCUAGGCAUUCGGAAACACUCUAGUACCUCCAGAGUCGCUACGUAAGCCAUAUGUGCCCAAUCAGCGUGAGUUCUUUGUAAGUAUUAAAAAUGGCCUGGAGAUGGAGACUAGAGCUAAAGAUGGCAUACCCAGAGCACUGAGUUCUAUCUGUGGCACUAAAUGUCCUGGCUGAGCAAGCCAUGGUGAAUAAGUUAGUAAGCAGUAUCCCUCUGUGAAUGGACUCUGCAUCAGCUCCAGCCUCCAGGUUCCUGCCCUGUUUGAGUUCCUGUCCUGAUUUCCUUGGAUGAAGAGCUGUAAACAGAAUAAACUCUUUCCUCCCCAACUUGUUUUUUGAUAAUGGUAUUUUAUUGCAGCUAUAGAAACCCCAAGGAAGCCACCAUAUAACC
rnacentral:lncRNA from 1 species